CAUUCCUGAAACCCCCAAACAACUUCAAGAGACCACACCCACGGUUCCCCCAGCUCCAACUAAAAUUCAUCCAGACGCAGAAGACGCUACUGCCCUGUUGAUGAUGGCACGGACAGCAUCCUAUGUUCCUAAAACAGAUCCAGGGGUGCCAUCAUUCAGCCUUGGAUUGACUGAUUCAAGCCAGGAGGGGGCGUCAACGCAGGAGACAGAAAGGGAAAAAUCUCCAGAAGCUGCGAAUUUGAUAGAACAAUUGGACAGUUUGGUCCAAAGAAUAGCAAGCAGCGCGGCAAAGGGAAAAAACACAAGUCCACAAAUUCAGAGGGAGACUGGGGGAGAAAGUUCUGCAAAGUUUGAAACUCCUCGGGGAUUAUAUCAGAUUACGGAUGAUAUGAAACAAAAGUGCUACAUCUGGGGGACGAGACUGAAGGAA